ACAAAAAAAGCAGAAGAAGAAGACGAAGAAAGAAAAUCUAACUUCCGGGUUUACUCUGCACGCUGCAGCGUCUUGGCCCCGCAAGCCACAUCACUCCUGGAGGAUCCACUUAACUUCUUUUCAAGCUCGCUGGGGAGAAACGACGGCGUGGAAGAGGGACCGGACAAAGACUCGUUAUCGAGGGACCCUCGUCGGGAAGGAAGUGUUACCUGCAGCAGCUGUUGGUGAUUGAAGAGGGGGUUCCCUGGAAAUGGAGUCUGGACAAGCUGGAUCCAGAUCUCCUCUACAUAGAAGAGGAACUGUGGCCCAAUCAGGAUGUGAAAAGAGUGAAAAAAGUUGGAAUGACAACAGGGCACAUGGGUCAGGUGUAAACCUUGAUGUAGAGUGUAACACUGCCAAUAACUCCCUCAGCUGCUCUAAAUGUGGUGAAGAGUUUGACGACCAACAAUGUCUCCAGAGACAUUUAACAGAGAAUCCUUUGAGUUGUUUGAACCAUAAGAAAUGUUUUAAAGUAACACAAAAUAUACAUUUGCGUAGAGGAGUUCACACAGAGACAA